UACGUAGGGGGCAAGCGUUGUCCGGAUUUAUUGGGCGUAAAGCGCGUGUAGGCGGCCAUUCAGGUCAGCUGUGAAAACUCGAGGCUCAACCUCGAGACGUCGGUUGAAACCGUUUGGCUAGAGUCCGGAAGAGGAGAGUGGAAUUCCUGGUGUAGCGGUGAAAUGCGCAGAUAUCAGGAAGAACACCCGUGGCUAAGGCGGCUCUCUAGUACGGUACUGACGCUGAGACGCGAAAGCGUGGGGAGCGAACAGG
rnacentral:rRNA from 1 species